rnacentral:rRNA from 1 species
CCCUUAGAUGUUCUGGGCCGCACGCGUGCUACACUGAGUGGAUCAGCGGGUCAGGUUGCGCGAAAGUGUUUCCUAAUCUUGAAAUCCGCUCGUGAUGGGGAUUGACGGUUGCAAUUUUCUGUCAUGAACGAGGAAUACCUUGUAAGCGCGGGUCAUCAUCCCGCGCUGGAUACGUCCCUGCCCUUUGUACACACCGCCCGUCGCUCCUACCGAUUGAGUGGUCCGGUGAGGCUUUGGGAUCUGGAUGGAAAGAGCGUUUCGCUGUUUCUGCCCGGAAAACUCAGUCGAACCUUAUCAUUUAGAGGAAGGAGAAGUCGUAACA